UGAUAUUGCUUUUAUGCAUUUACGGCAGC
rnacentral:sRNA from 1 species